CGAACGGGUGAGUAACACGUGAGUAACCUGCCCUUCACUCUGGGAUAACGUCGGGAAACCGGUGCUAAUACUGGAUAUGACCUACUCGGGCAUCCGAUGUGGGUGGAAAGAUUUAUUGGUGGGGGAUGGACUCGCGGCCUAUCAGCUUGUUGGUGAGGUAAUGGCUUACCAAGGCGACGACGGGUAGCCGGCCUGAGGGGGCGAUCGGCCACACUGGGACUGAGACACGGUCCAG
rnacentral:rRNA from 1 species